rnacentral:rRNA from 1 species
GGCGUAGGCGGCCUUUCAAGUCAGAUGUGAAAUCUCCCGGCUCAACUGGGAGGGUGCAUCUGAUACUGAUGGGCUAGAGUACAGCAGAGGGAAGUGGAACUCCCGGUGUAGUGGUGAAAUGCGUAGAUAUCGGGAAGAACACUAGUGGCGAAGGCGGCUUCCUGGGAUGUCACUGACGCUGGGGCCCGAAGGCGUGGGGAGCAAACAGGAUCAGAUACCCUGGUAGUCCACGCAGUAAACAAUGGACACUAGGUAUGGGGGGUAUCGACCCCCUCCGUGCCGAAGCUAACGCUUUAAGUGUCCCGCCUGGGGAGUACGGUCGCAAGACUAAA